CUCCCCUCUUAAGCACACGCCACCUCCUGUGGCCGCCUCGGCGCCAGGCCCUGGGUCUCGCCUGAGGGCGUCGGGGUCCCGCGGCGCAACCGGCCCCGCCUCGCUCGCAGUCCGCCGCCGCCUAGGGCGAGAGGUUGCCAGCCUAAGCCUGCAGCGCGCCGAGGCCAAACCCUUCCCCGGGACCCGCGCGCUGUGCUACCCAGGGAUCCCCACUGUUGGGGACACGGGGCUUUUCUAGUUUACGGCGUGACCCGCUUGGAGGAAUUACGGUGCCGAGACCCCUUAGGGACAGGGUGUCUAUUCCCUACUUAAAGGGACGAAGACUCCGGUUCAGCCCACUGUGCCAGACCUUCGGAGGAAUCCUUAUGCAAAUGAGCGUUUUAGCAAUCCAGAUGACGGAUGCGGCCAGGAUAGGCGGCAGGGGUCCGGCCCCCCACCAGUUGGAGAGAGCCAAGCUAAGGGGAGGUCGGAAUGUUUGCUUACCUUUUCACCUCUGAGGAAGUCGUGGCUUUAACCCUGUUCACGGCCAACCUGGCAGAGCGAGCUGUGGGAACGUUUAAAGCCUAAGAUUGUAGGAGCUGGCAAGGCUCCAUUUAAUCCAGGGCCCUCAUUUUACAGACGGAGAAACUGAGGCUCAGAGGACGGUCACCCAGGUGGGCCUGGAUGCCAGUUCCCGGUCUGGUGGCGCCGAAAUUGUGUCAUUUCUACUAGUCUCUACUUUGCAAUUUAAGGUCGUCCUCUGAUUAUUAAAAUGCGGAAACUGAGGCCGAGUGAGGAGCACAGCCUGCUCGGAAAAGCUUUUCCUGGGAGGCCGAAUAUGCUCUGCCGAGGAAGAGGAGCUGCCUAGAAAUGAGAGGAAGCAGAACGAGAUUCACUCCUGUCUUCCCAGCAUCCGGAGGGGGCUCCAGGAAGGUUGCGGGGUCCAGGUAGCCCCUUCCACACAAGUCCCAGUCGUGCUGACACGCAAGCCUGUCCGCGGUGUCGCUGAGCCAGCUCUGUUGUUACCUCCACCUCAGAGCUCGUCUCCUGUACAAAGCGCAGCUCCCCGACACUGUAGGGAACAAUUGAAAAAGAAGGCAUAAAGGCAGCAAACAUCGAAACCUCCAAGAUUACACUUACCUGGGUUCUAAUGCGAACGACUUUGUGUGCUAGUGUGUAAAACUAUAAAUCUGAGGCCUUUAAUCUGAUUCUCAUCUCCAAAAUAAACUUCGGAGUUCCUAAAAGGUACAAUAUUACUUUAAGCCCUACAGUUGGGAAAGUGAUUUAUUUCUUCAUUGUUAAACCACACACACACAGAUGUUCUUCUGAUGCAAUUUCCAUCCUCUCAUUUUCGUUGUAAUAUUUAAAGACAAUUUUUAUUUUUUAAUUUUUUGUAACAUCUUUAU